ACGAACGCUGGCGGCGUGCUUAGCACCUGCAAGUCGAACGGAAAGGCCCUGCUUUUGUGGGGUGCUCGAGUGGCGAACGGGUGAGUAACACGUGAGUAACCUGCCCUUGACUUUGGGAUAACUUCAGGAAACUGGGGCUAAUACCGGAUAGGAGCUCCUGCUGCAUGGUGGGGGUUGGAAAGUUUCGGCGGUUGGGGAUGGACUCGCGGCUUAUCAGCUUGUUGGUGGGGUAGUGGCUUACCAAGGCUUUGACGGGUAGCCGGCCUGAGAGGGUGACCGGCCACAUUGGGACUGAGAUACGGCCCAGACUCCUACGGGAGGCAGCAGUGGGGAAUAUUGCACAAUGGGCGGAAGCCUGAUGCAGCAACGCCGCGUGCGGGAUGACGGCCUUCGGGUUGUAAACCGCUUUCGCCUGUGACGAAGCGUGAGUGACGGUAAUGGGUAAAGAAGCACCGGCUAACUACGUG
rnacentral:rRNA from 1 species